GUAUAUGGUAGUUCAACUAAGACCGUCACUUCCAUGUGACAACGUUGAUCGACCUACAUCCUGUAGG
rnacentral:sRNA from 1 species